rnacentral:tRNA from 1 species
UAAGAAGUAGUGUAGUGGAUGCACUUGAAGUUUUGAUCUUCAGAGGGCGGGUUCGAGUCCUGUUUUUUUAG